rnacentral:lncRNA from 1 species
CGGCCGCCGCCUCCUUUAGGCGUCUCCCCGAAGCCUCGCCCGGGUUCUGACUCCAGCCCUGAUGCGGCUUCUGGCCCCGGCCUGAAGAGCAACUUGACUUCGGUGCCAAUGCCCACCAGCACUGGAUUGUUGACUCUGCCUGCUUGCCCUGAGGAGUCCCCGCUGCUCGGCUGGAGACACCAUGUUUAAUCGAGCUAAGCUGCUCAACGUUGGCUUUCAAGAGGCCUUGAAAGACUAUGACUACAACUGCUUUGUGUUCAGUGAUGUGGACCUCAUUCCAAUGGAUGACCAUAAUGCCUACAGGUGCUUUUCACAGCCACGGCAUAUUUCUGUCGCAAUGGACAAGUUCGGGUUUAGCCUGCCUUACGUUCAGUAUUUUGGAGGUGUCUCCGCUCUCAGUAAACAACAGUUCCUUACCAUCAAUGGAUUUCCUAAUAAUUACUGGGGCUGGGGAGGAGAAGAUGAUGACAUUUUUA